rnacentral:tRNA from 13 species
GCCCCGUUGGUCUAGCGGUUAGGAUACCGGACUUUCAAUCCGUGUGAACGUCGGUUCGAAUCCGACACGGGGUAC